UACGGAGGGGGCUAGCGUUGUUCGGAAUUACUGGGCGUAAAGGGCGCGUAGGCGGCCACCGCAAGUCGACUGUGAAAUCUCCGGGCUUAACCCGGAAAGGUCAGCCGAUACUGCGGGGCUAGAGUGCAGAAGGGGCAACUGGAAUUCUCGGUGUAGCGGUGAAAUGCGUAGAUAUCGAGAGGAACACCUGCGGCGAAGGCGGGUUGCUGGGCUGACACUGACGCUGAGGCACGAAGGCCAGGGGAGCAAACGGG
rnacentral:rRNA from 1 species